rnacentral:rRNA from 1 species
UACGUAGGGUGCGAGCGUUGUCCGGAAUUAUUGGGCGUAAAGAGCUUGUAGGCGGUUUGUCGCGUCUGCCGUGAAAAUCCGGGGCUCAACCCCGGACUUGCAGUGGGUACGGGCAGACUAGAGUGCGGUAGGGGAGACUGGAAUUCCUGGUGUAGCGGUGAAAUGCGCAGAUAUCAGGAGGAACACCGGUGGCGAAGGCGGGUCUCUGGGCCGUAACUGACGCUGAGGAGCGAAAGCAUGGGGAGCGAACAGG